UAAGGAUAAUGCAGUCCUUGUGGACUGAUAAAACGUUGACGCGUUACUUGUUUGUUUAGUUUUGAGAGUACAAUUCUCUCAAAACUUUUUUUAAUCGUUCUUUGAAAACUAGAUAAUCGUAAGAAGAAGUCAAAGUAAAACCGAGAAUUGCCAUUUUAGUUUUUCUCUCUUAUUAAUAUAAGAAGAAAAUAACCUUUUA
rnacentral:misc_RNA from 1 species